AUUUCAGUCAGGAGGUCUACCUUGUUUCUGCCAUGUACAUGUCUAGCAGUGAUGACACUAUUCAGAAAGCUCCUCGAGCCUACCUUGUUUCCUCUUCCUUCUCCUUUCUCAUGACAUGCAAGUGGAUUAUCUGAACACUGCUUUUACUUAGAGAAUCCCAGCCCAUCUGUACAACCACUGUGUGAUCUGAGUCUUCAGCCACUGUACCUCCUUGGCAUGCUGCCACGUUCUAAUAAUGCCCAUCAUAGCAACAAUGGCAGCUACAAGAAACCUUGCUGGAUCCCACAUGUUCUUACAGAUAUCCACC
rnacentral:lncRNA from 1 species